rnacentral:rRNA from 1 species
AAUCAACGCUGGCGGCGUGCCUCAGACAUGCAAGUCGAACGAUUAAAGCUCUCUUCGGAGAGUGCAUAGAGUGGCGCACGGGUGAGUAACACGUAAGUAAUCUACCUUCGAGUGGGGAAUAACGUCCGGAAACGGACGCUAAUACCGCAUAAUGCAGCGGCAUCGUAAGAUGACAGUUGUUAAAGAUUUAUCGCUUGAAGAGGAGCUUGCGGCAGAUUAGCUAGUUGGUAAGGUAAUGGCUUACCAAGGCUACGAUCUGUAACCGGUCUUAGAGGACGGUCGGUCACACUGACACUGAAUAACGGGUCAGACUCCUACGGGAGGCAGCAGUCGGGAAUUUUGGGCAAUGGGCGAAAGCCUGACCCAGCAACGCCGCGUGAAGGAUGAAGUAUUUCGGUAUGUAAACUUCGAAAGAAUAGGAAGAAUAAAUGACGGUACUAUUUAUAAGGUCCGGCUAACUACGUG